GGGCACGCCAAGGCUUCGACAGAAAUCACAAGUUGAGAAGGUGCAUGCAAGCACGUCGCGGCUUUGACAGCGACAACUCCACAAGUGCCGAAGACUAUUCUGAAGUACGACUCGCAGCUUAAUUAGCGCGAUAGGAUUGCCCGAAAGCUCUGCGGUAUCGGCAAUCCGAACAACACCGCAGAUGGUGGAGAUGGAGACAGGGAAGCGAGGCUUGUUGGCCGGCCUCGUGGGUAGAUAGAAUGACCGACUAAGCAUGUGAAUGACCGACUUGAUGAAGAUUUUUGGACGCGGGUUCGACUCCCGCCGUGUCCACGA
rnacentral:tmRNA from 1 species